rnacentral:rRNA from 1 species
UACGUAGGGUGCAAGCGUUAAUCGGAAUUACUGGGCGUAAAGCGUGCGCAGGCGGUUCGGAAAGAAAGGUGUGAAAUCCCAGGGCUUAACCUUGGAACUGCACUUUUAACUACCGGGCUAGAGUACGUCAGAGGGGGGUAGAAUUCCACGUGUAGCAGUGAAAUGCGUAGAGAUGUGGAGGAAUACCAAUGGCGAAGGCAGCCCCCUGGGUUAACACUGACGCUCAUGCACGAAAGCGUGGGGAGCAAACAGG